rnacentral:rRNA from 1 species
AUGGCGGCGGUGGCCGGAGCCGGGAGGGCGAGGGGGGCGAGCCUGGCGGCGGCCGUGCGGGCUGUCGCGGCGACGGCGCGACCGGCGUCGAACGCCGCCGCGGCGGCCGGGGUGAGCGUGGCGGCGGUGAUCCUCAAGGGGAAUGACACGCCAUUCGGGUCGGUCGGGUGGUGGGCGUACGCCGGCAUCUCCUGCUUCCUGGUGCUCUUCGCCGGGAUCAUGUCGGGGCUCACCCUCGGGCUCAUGUCGCUCGGCCUCGUCGAGCUCGAGAUCCUCCAGCGCAGCGGCACCGACUCCGAGAAGGCGCAGGCUGCUACUAUCCUUCCAGUUGUUCAAAAGCAGCACCAACUUCUUGUCACCCUGCUACUGUGUAAUGCUGUUGCCAUGGAGGCUCUUCCUAUAUUCCUUGACAGGAUUUUUCAUCCUGUUGUUGCUGUUGUCUUGUCAGUGACAUUUGUUCUUGCUUUCGGAGAGGUUAUACCACAAGCAAUCUGUACUAGGUAUGGGUUGGCGGUGGGUGCUAACUUUGUAUGGCUUGUACGUAUCCUCAUGAUCAUGUGCUAUCCUAUUGCAUACCCUAUUGGGAAGCUCCUAGACUGCGCUCUUGGGCAUAAUGAAUCUGCACUCUUUAGGCGAGCUCAACUGAAAGCUCUUGUUUCUAUACACAGCAAAGAGGCUGGUAAGGGUGGGGAGCUUACCCACGAUGAGACUACAAUCAUAAGUGGAGCUUUGGACUUGACUGAAAAGACUGCUCAAGAAGCUAUGACACCUAUCGAAUCAACUUUCUCACUAGACGUGGACUCCAAAUUGGAUUGGGAAGCAAUUGGUAAAAUUCUUGCCCGGGGCCACAGCCGUGUGCCUGUGUACUCAGGAAACCCUAGAAAUGUUAUUGGCCUCCUGUUGGUGAAAAGUCUUCUGACAGUUCGUGCUGAAACAGAGACACCAGUUAGUGCGGUUUCCAUUCGAAGGAUUCCGAGGGUUCCGGCGGACAUGCCUUUGUAUGACAUAUUGAACGAGUUUCAGAAAGGGAGUAGCCAUAUGGCUGCUGUUGUGAAGGCUAGACCAAAGAAUCCUCCAGCCGACACAACUGAACCAAACAUGGAAGCAGCUGGGGCAACACAGCUGACUGCACCCUUACUAUCCAAUGCUGAAGAAAGGGCGGAAAGUGUGGUUGUCGACAUUGAAGCACCACAUAGCAGGCAGACUAAUGGAAACAAACACCACUCCGUGCAGCAAAACGAUAAACCAUCGAAUGGAGUGGGUCGGUCAUCAGAGGACAUAGAGGAAGGCGAGGUCAUUGGUAUCAUCACACUUGAAGAUGUAUUUGAAGAACUCUUGCAGGAAGAGAUAGUGGAUGAAACCGACGAAUAUGUUGAUGUUCAUAAAAGGAUCCGGGUAGCUGCUGCUGCUGCCGCGUCAUCAGUUGCAAGGGCUCCAUCAGUUAGAAGAUUAACUGCUCAAAAGGCUUCCGGAACGCAGAGCCGGCAAGGGCAGGCUGGACAGCCUGCUGGAAUUUUGAAGAAGCCUGCUACUGAAGGUGAUUCAAACCCAUCAAAACAGGUGAACCUUGUCGAACCUCUGCUGGAAAAUAGGAGGUAA